UCAGGCCUAAUACAUGCAAGUCGAACGAAGUAGCAAUACUUAGUGGCAGACGGGUGAGUAACAUGUAGGAAUCUUCCCUAUGGCCUGGAAUAACACGAGGAAACUUGUGCUAAUACCGGAUAAGUCUUUACAGAGAAAGCUUUAUGCACCAUUGGAUGAGCCUGCACUUGAUUAGUUUGUUGGUGGGGUAAUGGCCUACCAAGACUUUGAUCAAUAGCUGAUUUGAGAGGAUGAUCAGCCACAUUGGGACUGAGACACGGCCCAAACUCCUACGGGAGGCAGCAGUGGGGAAUCUUGCACAAUGGAGGAAACUCUGAUGCAGCGAUGCCGCGUGAGUGAAGAAGGCCUUUGGGUUGUAAAGCUCUUUCGUCGGGGAAGAAAAUGACUGUACCCGAAUAAGAAGGUCCGGCUAACUUCGUGCCAGCAGCCGCGGUAAUACGAAGGGACCUAGCGUAGUUCGGAAUUACUGGGCUUAAAGAGUUCGUAGGUGGUUGAAAAAGUUGGUGGUGAAAUCCCAGAGCUUAACUCUGGAACUGCCAUCAAAACUUUUCAGCUAGAGUUUGAUAGAGGAAAGCAGAAUUUCUAGUGUAGAGGUGAAAUUCGUAGAUAUUAGAAAGAAUACCAAUUGCGAAGGCAGCUUUCCGGAUCAUUACUGACACUGAGGAACGAAAGCAUGGUAGCGAAGAGGAUUAGAUACCCU
rnacentral:rRNA from 1 species